ensembl:lncRNA
AUGUGUGCUACAGAAAUAUAUGACCUAAAAGGAAAUUGGUUAAAGAUGUUUUACCAAUGGCAUAUGACACCGAAGAAAAUAACAAAAUUUGCAAAAGACAAGAAUAUCAAAUGCUGGAAGUGUGGGAAAAGCGAUGGUAUCUAUCUACAUAUGUGGUGGUCCUGUGAAAAAAUAAAACCCUAUUGGAGAGAGAUACAUAACAAGUGUCAGAAGAUUCUAAAAAUACAAAUUCCUUUAGUCCCAGAAUACUUCCUACUGGGGAUGUCUAACAUGCAAUGGGGAAAGAACGAAGAUAAAAUAUUUACAUAUUUAACAACCACAGCCAGAAUAGUGUUUGCCAGACUAUGGAAACAAAAAGCAAUACCAAAUAAAGAGGAUUGGAUAAAGAAAAUAUGGGAUAUUAUGAAUAUGGACCAAUUAACCUUUCUACUAUCAAGAACACAGAACAAACCAAAGACGAUGACAGACUGGACGCCGAUAAAGGACUGGAUGAAGAACGAAAAAAUUAAAGUAUUGAUAUAACGGCCAUUAACAGACUGAGACAAAUCAACUAUUGAAGACAAAAGCAGUAAAGACGGAAAACAAUAGAUGAAAACAUCAUUUGAUAAGACACCAUUAUAGAGAAGAAGGGAAGUUAAGAAAGAAAAAACUCCCCACCCACCCCUUUCCCCACCCCCUUUUUUCCCUUUUCCCCCCCGAGUCCCUACGGGGAGAUGGUGGCGGGGUAUAAAUAAAGUUUUAUUAUUAUUAUUAUUAUUAUUAUUAUUAUUAUUAUUAUUAUUAUUAUUUCUUUCUCAUUUUCUUUCCAUUUCUGCUUUGUGCAAAUCUUUCCCUUCCCCCCCCCCCCCCAAUUCACUAAGGUGAUUUUUAAAAACCAUUUUAUGUAUGUAACACUCAAUAAAAUUUUAUUUUUUAAAAAAAGAAAUAUUGACCUACCUAUGAAAGUAAUAAUUGUGCUUUCGAUUUUUUCCACAGAUUUCUUGUUACAUUCAUAUGCGGAACAAAAAUACAUAUUUAUAUAGUUUGUAUAGCUUGUAAUGUUAAAAGAACAUUGAGACGAGUGGGCUGUUUGGAACUCUCACCACUCCUUCUUCUUUAUGAGUGGGCUUUCCCCCUCUCCAUUGUCACCAGCUGACCAUUGUGUACAUUUUGAUUUUACUUUUUAAAAUAUGUAAGUCACAAUAUAUAUUUAUGUACUGUAAAUGAGGUCCCUAGAACGUUAAGAAAUGCAAAAAAAAUAACUUUUAAUAACUCAUUCACGAACUGUCACCCUUAAAAAUCAAAUUGCCCCCUGUGGAGCGUUGGCUGCAGGUUGGGAGCCAGAAGUUUAAGCAUUGCAAACCCAAUCUUAUAGAAAGCUGGAACAACCCUUUUUUCUAUUGUACGGUCCCCUUAAUAGGGCUAUAUGAACACAAAUUGUGCCAUAUGCUUAUCACAACUCCUCCUCUUUCCUAGCCCAUAGCUGCCUUUUUAUGAUGAGAAGAACUAUACAAUAUCAAGAUUUGGGGCAUUAUUGCAAAAUUUUGCCAUUUCAUGUUUUCGUUACUGUACAAUUUCAUAACCCGCAGUAACACAGUUCUGGAUUGCCAUUUAUGCAUACAUUUCUCCCAUACCUCCCAUCAUGAUUAAAUAUGGAUGACAUAAUAAAUAUGGAUCUUGCAAUUCCCAGUCUUAUACACAUUAGUUUAUGCUCCCAGGGGUGGUGUAGUUACAUCUAGAUGUGUUUUGGGAUGUUGGGACCAAUAGACCUCAGGGUUCCAAUCAGUGACAAUGUUUGUGCAUUUAAACCCAGUGCACCACAUCACAGCUAAAAGUGUGCAUUCCAAAGGUAAUCCUAGUUAACAAAUCAACAUUAUUCACAAGUAAUGUUUCCAAAAAUAUCUUGGCAGUAUAUUUUCCAUGAAAAUUAUAAAAUUAAUGAGAAAGGAGAAUAAUGCCAGGAAACACAAAUACAGUAGAGUCUCACUUAUCCAACGUAAACGGGCCGAUAGAACAUUGGAUAAGCAAAUAUGUUGGAUAAUAAGGAGAGAUUAAGGAAAAGCCUAUUUAACAUCAAAUUAGGUUAUGAUUUUACAAAUUAAGCACCAAAACAUCAUGUUAUACAACAAAUUUGACAGAAAAAGUAGUUCAAUACGCAGUAAUGCUAUGUAGUAACUACUGUAUUUACGAAUUUAGCACCAAAAUAUCACGAUGUUUUGAAAACAUUGACUACAAAAAUGCGUUGGAUAAUCCAGAACGUUGGAUAAGCGAGUGUUGGAUAAGUGAGACUCUACUGUACUAAAAAAUUCACAGUUAAAAUCCAUUGAAAAUAUAUUCAAAGUUAAAAACCACAGCACCCCCUAACUAGAUCUUAAACACCUUCUUCUUUAAAAGCCUAUUUGAAUAAAAAAGGUUGUAUCCUACCACCAGAAGGACAGCAGGGAGGGGGCCAUUCUGGCUUCCCUAGAGUCCCAGAGUCGAGGAGCAGCCACCAAGAAGGCCUGCUCCCUCAUUCCCACCAACUGAGCUUGAGACUAUCCUGACUUUUUAAAUAUAUUUAAAUACUUCAAAAUCUCAACAUUUUCAAUACAAGAGUACUCAUAGCAUGUUAAAUAUCUCAGUUGUAAUGAAGUAACAUUUGCACAUUUUUUCUGUCCUGAGCAAAAAGAAUAUAUAUGUGUGUGUAUGUGUGUGUGUGUGUGUGUAUCAUUCUGUAACCUCACAGGAUUCAAGUAAAUGUCCCUCUGAGUAAGUAAUUAGUUUUUAACAAUUUCCAGGAAAGAGAAUCCAACAGUGCCUACUAGGUAUGUGCAAUCCAGAAAAAAAUGGUUCUAAACUCUGUUCGAAAGCAAGGGGUGCUGGCGCUUCGUUUCUAAAGUCAUUUCUGAAUUUUGAAGGCAGAAAGUUCAAAACUUUCCCGAACUUUUGAAUGUUCGUAUGUACCUUGUUAAUGGCGGAUGCACAUGCGCAUGAAGGAAAAUAUUAUUGUCAAUGGGGAAACUUGAGAGGCUUCUCUGUCAUUUUUGAGCUAUCCUGAUGAAACUUUCUACAGUGGUAGAACACAUUUGCCACUGUUAGCUCACCAAAUUUCAGAACGUUUGAUUUAUCCUCAGAUUUUUGGUGAAUUUUCAAAGUUUUUAUAAAAAACAUUUUUAAUAAUAACAAAAAUCUGUUCCUGGUUUGAAAGUGUUAUUUCCUGUUUCAUUGGGUUGUCUUUACUUUGAAAGUCAUUGUUCUACUUCAGAAACUUUGUUUUUGUGGCUGAAACUUUGUUAAAUUGGUGGAGACUCAACAAACCAUAAUGUGCUAUUUAUAGGACGAUGUCCCUUGUGCAAAUACAGAGUUUUGGCAGUGUAAUAAAGUUUUGCCAUGUGGUUAUGACAGAACCAAUUAGGAAAUGGCAUUUAUCACCCAGGGACAGAAAUAAUAGUACACUAUCCAACCACUCCUGGCAGAUGGCCAUCAGCCUCUGAAUAAGGAAAUCUGGUUCUGGUUUGAAAGUGUUAUUUCCUGUUUGAUUGGGUUUACUGGGGCUGAGAGUGUGUGACUUGCCCAAGAUCCCCCAGUGGGUUUCCAUGGCUGAGUGGUGAAUCAAACCACAAUAGUCUCAAACCUCUCUCUCUCUCUCUCUUUCCCUCCCCCCCCUCUCUAAACUUCUCAUACCUUCCAAGAAUUCACAGAAGAAAACAUCCAAGUUUGGUCAAGAUGGUCAAUAUUAUUAAUAAGGAAAGAGUGAGGACAAAAGGGGGUGGGGAAUGUU